rnacentral:misc_RNA from 1 species
UACGAAGGGGGCUAGCGUUGUUCGGAAUUACUGGGCGUAAAGCGCACGUAGGCGGCGAGCAUAGGCAGGUGUGAAAGCCCCGGGCUCAACCCGGGAACUGCACUUGAUACUGGCUUGCUAGAGUUCGGGGGAGGAGAGUGGAAUUCCCAGUGUAGAGGUGAAAUUCGUAGAUAUUAGGAAGAACACCAGUGGCGAAGGCGGCUCACUGGUCCGGUAAUGACGCUGAGUUGCGAAAGCGUGGGGAGCAAACAGG